AUCCAGAUGAAGAGUCCCAAAUAGAACGAAGUACGCGUUGUCCUGGAU
rnacentral:hammerhead_ribozyme from 1 species